rnacentral:lncRNA from 1 species
UAUAUUUUAGGUAACUUCCAGUUAUUUGAAAUUUCCAGAUGUGAUAGAAGGAAUGGAGAACAAUGAAAGAAAAGGCAGCGUCGAUUCUGUAAAUCAUUCAGUUCCGUGGUCAUAUACAAGGUAUAAUGAAAAGCCUCCACGAUUUUUUGGCAAUCCUGGCGAAGCUGUUAAUGUUAAUAGUAACAAAGUAAAACCAAAGUAAAUGUGAUCCUAGGGAAUUUUUGAUGUGCGGUUGUUAAUUUGUGAUAGUUUGGUGACUAGCAAAACGAAGACACUUAGGUAUAUUGCUUAUUUAGUUUAUUUUUAUAUGUUUUUUAAUAAAAUAGAUAAAUGUGUGUA